UGGGGAAUAUUGCACAAUGGGCGCAAGCCUGAUGCAGCCAUGCCGCGUGUAUGAAGAAGGCCUUCGGGUUGUAAAGUACUUUCAGCGGGGAGGAAGGCGAUAAGGUUAAUAACCUUGUCGAUUGACGUUACCCGCAGAAGAAGCACCGGCUAACUCCGUGCCAGCAGCCGCGGUAAUACGGAGGGUGCAAGCGUUAAUCGGAAUUACUGGGCGUAAAGCGCACGCAGGCGGUCUGUCAAGUCGGAUGUGAAAUCCCCGGGCUGAACCUGGGAACUGCAUUCGAAACUGGCAGGCUAGAGUCUUGUAGAGGGGGGUAGAAUUCCAGGUGUAGCGGUGAAAUGCGUAGAGAUCUGGAGGAAUACCUGUGGCGAAGGCGGCCCCCUGGACAAAGACUGACGCUCAGGUGCGAAAGCGUGGGGAGCAAACA
rnacentral:rRNA from 1 species